GACGAACGCUGGCGGCGUGCUUAACACAUGCAAGUCGAACGGAAAGGCCCUGCUUUUGUGGGGUGCGCGAGUGGCGAACGGGUGAGUAACACGGGAGUAACCUGCCCUGGAGUUUGGGAUAACUUCAGGAAACUGGGGCUAAUACCGGAUAUGAGCUCCUGCUGCAUGGGGGGGGUUGGAAAGUUUCGGCUGUUGGGGAUGGACUCGCGGCUUAUCAGCUUGUUGGUGGGGUAGUGGCUUACCAAGGCUUUGACGGGUAGCCGGCCUGAGAGGGUGACCGGCCACAUUGGGACUGAGAGACGGACCAGACUCCUAUGGGAGGCAGCAGUGGGGAACAUUGCCCAACGGGCGGAAGCCUAAUGCAGAAACGCCGCGUGCGGGAUGACGGCCUUCGGGUUGUAAACAGCUUCUGCCUGUGACGAAGCGUGAGUGACGGUAACGUGUAAAGAAGCACCGGCUAACUACGUG
rnacentral:rRNA from 1 species